AGGGUUUGAUCCUGGCUCAGAUUGAACGCUGGCGGCGUGCCUAACACAUGCAAGUCGAGCGGCAGCGGGCCCGCAAGGGUGCCGGCGAGCGGCGGACGGGUGAGCAAUACAUAGGAAUCUGCCUCAGAGCGGGGGAUAGCCAGGGGAAACCCUGAUUAAUACCGCAUGAUGUCGAAAGACCAAAGUGGGGGACCGUAAGGCCUCACACUCUGAGAUGAGCCUAUGUCGGAUUAGCUAGUUGGCGGGGUAACGGCCCACCAAGGCGACGAUCCGUAGCUGGUCUGAGAGGACGAUCAGCCACACCGGAACUGAGACACGGUCCGGACUCCUACGGGAGGCAGCAGUGGGGAAUAUUGGACAAUGGGCGAAAGCCUGAUCCAGCGACGCCGCGUGGGUGAAGAAGGCCUUCGGGUUGUAAAGCCCUUUAAGCCGGGACGAAAAAGCCGCUCCUAACACGUGCGGCCUUGACGGUACCGGAAGAAUAAGCACCGGCUAACUCUGUGCCAGCAGCCGCGGUAAUACAGAGGGUGCAAGCGUUAAUCGGAUUUACUGGGCGUAAAGCGUGUGUAGGUGGCUAUCUAAGUCGGUUGUGAAAGCCCUGGGCUCAACCUGGGAAUUGCAGUCGAUACUGGAUAGCUAGAGUUCGGUAGAGGGUGACGGAAUUCCCGGUGUAGCGGUGAAAUGCGUAGAUAUCGGGAGGAACAUCGAUGGCGAAGGCAAUCACCUGGGCCUGAACUGACACUGUGACACGAAAGCGUGGGUAGCAAACAGGAUUAGAUACCCUGGUAGUCCACGCCGUAAACGAUGGGAACCUGACGUCGGUUUGCUCUGCGAAUCGGUGUCGUAGCUAACGCGCUAAGUUC
rnacentral:rRNA from 1 species